rnacentral:lncRNA from 1 species
UUAUGACCCAAUGGCACCAUCAUUCCUGCUGAUGCUUGCCCUGUUCAUGGGAAGUCGACAGGAGCCUCUGAAAGCUGGCUCUUGGGCUCCCUGCCCAGAGCUUUCUACCUUUGUAAUCACUUCUGUUUCCCCAUUCUCACAGAGCUUCAGCACCCCAUGACUGUGGCUCCCACCAUAUGUUUCAAGAAGUGGAGAAAUCCUUCACUCUCUCAUGUGGCCUUAAGCUGUGCCUUUGCCAGAUGUUCCCUGCACCUGACACCCAGUGCCCUGGGUGUGAAGACAGAGGAAGAGCUGCAGUGCAUACCUUAGCCAAGCCUUCACUCUCUAUGGCCUGGGAAGAGGGAAAGAGGGAAGCUUCCCUGUAAGGCACAGACAUAGAGUUACAGACAGCAUAACCUUGAGGCUCAGGUCCAGCCAGCAGACCCAAGAGGACCUCUGAGGCUAUCUGCUGCUGACAAUCCAGACUGGGGAAGGCACUUGCCCAACAGCAUACAGCAUUUCAGUAACAGAUCUGAGACCUCAACUUCUUCCUUAGACCAAACACUGGAAUACUGGGAAUAUGGUAGACAUAUUGGGCUGAAUGGAGAGGAAGUCAUAGGAGGAGGGGUGAAGGCAGAGGAACUCUGUCCUUCUCAUAAGGACUCCCAUACUCUUCUGGUGUGACAACUUCAUCUAAGGAGCCUACUCCUGGUCUCUCUGGUCUUCUGCUGUCCCUGGUAUCCACUUCCUUUGCAAGGAGGGUGGGGAUUUGGAGAGAGUCCAGAGCCUUGUGGAAGGACAUGGCUGAGACUACAGCCUCUGCUUUCAGAUACAACCUUGGGGAGAUGGACCAGGGAGGAAGGAGUGAUCAUCAGUAAGGUCCAGAGACAAGAAAGUUCUGCAGCUCUAGAAAUGGCAUUGCCUUUGUGAGGAAUGCUCCAUGAAGUCAGGAAAAAGCCAAACAAAGAAGAUUAGAUACAGGGAUCUCAUUCUGCAAAUAAGAAG